GCCUAACACAUGCAAGUCGAGUGGGUUUAGACCCACGGCAGACGAGGUAGGAACACGUAGGUACUCACCCCACAGUCGGGCAUAUUCCAUCGAAAGAUGGCGCAAUUCCCGAUAGUCUCGCGAGAGUAAAGCAGCAAUGCGCUGAGGGAGGGGCCUGCGGGCUAUCAGCUAGUUGGUAGGGUAACGGCCUACCAAGGCUACGACGGCUAGGGGAGCUGAGAGGCUGACCCCCACCGAUGGCACUGCGAUACGGGCCAUACUCCUACGGGAGGCCGCAGUCGAGAAUCUUCCACAAUGGACGAAAGUCUGAUGGAGCGACGCCGCGUGAUUGAUGAAGUCCUUCGGGACGUAAAGAUCUUUUAUGAGGGAUGAAGUAAUUGACAGUACCUCAUGAAUAAGAGGCUCCUAACUCUGUGCCAGCAGGAGCGGUAAUACAGAGGCCUCAAGCGUUAUCCGGAAUCACUGGGCGUAAAGGGUGCGUAGACGGUUGUGUUAGUCUUGUGUUAAAACCUCUUGCUUAACAGGAGGAUCGCACAGGAAACGGCACGACUUGGAGGAUGUGAGAGGUAUGUGGAACUCAUGGUGUAGGGGUGAAAUCCGUUGAUAUCAUGGGGAACACCGAAAGCGAAGGCAGCAUACUGGCACAUUCCUGACGUUGAGGCACGAAAGCGUGGGUAGCGAAUGGGAUUAGAUACCCCAGUAGUCCACGCCCUAAACGUUGUUCUCUGGCUUUUGGGAGUAUCGACCCUCUCGGAGGCGAAGCUAACGCGUUAAGAGAACCGCCUGGGUAGUACGAUCGCAAGAUUAAAACUCAAAGGAAUAGACGGGGACUUGCACAAGCGGUGGAUCAUGUGGCUUAAUUCGUCGGUAAGCGAAGAACCUUACCAGGGUUUGAAACCCAAUGGAAAUCCCUAUGAAAGUAGGGACCCCCGCAAGGGCCGUUGGGCAGGUGAUGCAUGGCCGUCGUCAGUUCGUGGCUUGAGCUGUUCCGUUAAGUCGGGAAACGAACGCAACCCUUAUUGCCUGUUACAAGUGUCAGGCGAGACUGCUCCCUUACGGGAGAGGAAGGUGGGGAUGACGCCAGGUCCGCAUGUCCCUCUGAUACCCUGGGCUGCACACGUGAUACAAUGGUUAACACAGCGGGACGCAAUACCGUAAGGUGGAGCAAAUCCUCAAAGUUAAUCUCAAUCCAGAUUGAGGGCUGCAACUCGCCCUCAUGAAGCCGGAAUCGCUAGUAAUCGUGGGUCAGCAACACCACGGUGAAUACGUUCUCAAGUCUUGCACACACCGCCCGUCACA
rnacentral:rRNA from 1 species